rnacentral:lncRNA from 1 species
CUGAUGAUGACCUUGACUUCGCUUUGCUCACCUUCUUUGGAGACUGAGAGUUUAACGAAGACCUUGAUUCUGAUCGGCUCCUGCUCUGUGAAGGGGACCUUCGCCUUCCAGCCCUUGGAGAAUCUACUGGACUACGGCUGCGAAUAGGGGUUCGACUUCGACUUGGGCUACGGCUGCGAAUAGAGGUUCGACUACGACUUGGGCUACGACUUGGGCUAUGACCAUAGCGACGAUUUCUAUACCUCGGGCUCGGUGAUACAGACAGACUUCUUGUCCGGCUUCUU